rnacentral:rRNA from 1 species
UACGAAGGGGGCUAGCGUUGCUCGGAAUCACUGGGCGUAAAGGGCUCGUAGGCGGCCAACUAAGUCAGACGUGAAAUCCCUCGGCUUAACCGGGGAACUGCGUCUGAUACUGGAUGGCUUGAGUUCGGGAGAGGGAUGCGGAAUUCCAGGUGUAGCGGUGAAAUUCGUAGAUAUUCGCAAGAACACCAGUGGCGAAGGCGGCUCACUGGCCCGGUACUGACGCUGAGGUGCGAAAGCGUGGGGAGCAAACAGG